CAAUGAGUCAAAUUUAAGAAACAACCCACUGUUAGAAAGCUGAUUGGCUACGCUUUAAAAUGAAUGUAAACUUUAACGUUUUCGUCUAUUAUUUGUUUAGCAAUUUACAUUUCAGUCGAGGAUUGCGCUUUUUUUGAUACACCCUGUAUAUGGUCAAUAUAUGGGAAUUAAAUGGGGACAAAAACUGAUCAUGAUCAUGACUCUUCUACGUGUCGAACCUCAUUUCCAAUUACAAC